rnacentral:misc_RNA from 1 species
AAAAAAUUAAGGCAACCAAGAAAAAAAAUAAUAUGAGAACAAUUCAAUGGAAAUAUGAAGGUAUGCUAAAGCAAUGGGAUAAAGAAAUAUCUGCAGCGAAACUAUUCAACCUGACUUAAUAAUGCAUGAACCUACUGAUUAAUGCAUGUGAAUUUCAAUUGCUCUCUCUAUUUUCUUUUCUGGAAUCAUGCAGUUAUUAAACAAAUCAUGCAUUUGGAGAGUUCCUCUCUGUGUGUGCGUCCUCUUCCAAUAUCAUGCAGUCCUAAAAAGUAACAAAGUAUUUGGAGAGCUAAGAAGUGGGAUCUGGUUAAUUCCAUGUCUUAAAAGCCAAGACAUAGAUUAGGACCAUUAUUAUGUGCUAUUAUU